GCGAACGGGUGAGUAACGCGUAGGUAACCUAGCUUAUAGCGGGGGAUAACUAUUGGAAACGAUAGCUAAUACCGCAUAAAAGUGGUUGACCCAUGUUAACUAUUUAAAAGGAGCAACAGCUCCACUAUGAGAUGGACCUGCGUUGUAUUAGCUAGUUGGUAGGGUAAAGGCCUACCAAGGCGACGAUACAUAGCCGACCUGAGAGGGUGAACGGCCACACUGGGACUGAGACACGGCCCAGACUCCUACG
rnacentral:rRNA from 1 species